rnacentral:rRNA from 1 species
CACGUAGGCACCAAGCGUUGUCCGGAUUUAUUGGGCGUAAAGAGCUCGUAGGCGGUUCAGUAAGUCAGGUGUGAAAACUUUGGGCUUAACCCAAAGCGUGCAUUUGAUACUGCUGUGACUUGAGUUCGGUAGGGGAGUGGGGAAUUCCUAGUGUAGCGGUGAAAUGCGCAGAUAUUAGGAGGAACACCGGUGGCGAAGGCGCCACUCUGGGCCGAAACUGACGCUGAGGAGCGAAAGCGUGGGUAGCAAACAGG